rnacentral:rRNA from 1 species
AAAGGAAUAGACGGGGGCCCGCACAAGCGGAGGAACAUGUGGUUUAAUUCGAUGAUACGCGAGGAACCUUACCCGGGCUUGAAUUGCAGGAGAACGAAACAGAGAUGUUGAGGUCCUUCGGGACUCCUGUGAAGGUGCUGCAUGGUUGUCGUCAGCUCGUGCCGUGAGGUGUCGGCUUAAGUGCCAUAACGAGCGCAACCCCUGUUCUUAGUUGCCAUCAGGUAAUGCUGGGCACUCUGGGAAUACUGCCACCGUAAGGUGUGAGGAAGGUGGGGAUGACGUCAAAUCAGCACGGCCCUUACGUCCGGGGCUACACACGUGUUACAAUGGCCGGUACAGAGAGUUGGUCGUGCGCAAGUAUGGUCUAAUCCAUAAAACCGGUCUCAGUUCGGACUGGGGUCUGCAACCCGACCCCACGAAGCUGGAUUCGCUAGUAAUCGCGCAUCAGCCAUGGCGCGGUGAAUACGUUCCCGGGCCUUGUACACACCGCCCGU